CUUAAACCGCAACCUGAUCUAUAAGCCUAAGUAGUGUAUCCUUGUUAGAAGACACAAAGCCAAAGACUCAUAUUGACUUUGGCUACACCAUGAAAACUUUGAGAAGCAAGAAGAAGAUUGGUUAGUGUUUUGGAGUCGAAUAUGACUUGAUGUCAUGUGUAUGAUUGAGUAUAAGAACUUAAACCGCAACCGGAUCUUAAAGGCGUAAGAAUUGUAUCCUUGUUAGAAGACACAAAGCCAAAGACUCAUAUGGACUUUGGCUACACGAUGAAAGCUUUGAGAAGCAAGAAGAAGGUUGGUUAGUGUUUUGGAGUCGAUUAUGACUUGAUGUCAUGUGUAUGAUUGAGUGUAAGAACUUAAACCGCAAGCCGAUCUUAAAGGCGUAAGAAUUGUAUCCUUGUUAGAAGACACAAAGCCAAAGACUCAUAUGGACUUUGGCUACGCCAUGAAAGCUAUGAGAAGCAAGAAGAAGGUUGGUUAGUGUUUUGGAGUCGAAUAUGACUUGAUGUCAUGUGUAUGAUUGAGUAUAAGAACUUAAACCGCAACCCGAUCUUAAAGGCGUAAGAAUUGUAUCCUUGUUAGAAGACACAAAGCCAAAGACUCAUAUGGACUUUGGCUACACCAUGAAAGCUUUGAGAAGCAAGAAGAAGGUUGGUUAGUGUUUUGGAGUCAAAUAUGACUUGAUGUCAUGUGUAUGAUUGAGUAUAACAACUUAAACCGCAACCCGAUCUUGUAAGCCUAAGUAGUGUAUCCUUGUUAGAAGACACAAAGCCAAAGACUCAUAUGGACUUUGGCUACACCAUGAAAGCUUUGAGAAGCAAGAAGAAGGUUGGUUAGUGUUUUAAAGUCGAAUAUGACUUGAUGUCAUGUGUAUGAUUGAGUAUAAGAACUUAAACCGCAACCGGAUCUUAAAGGCGUAAGAAUUGUAUCCUUGUUAGAAGACACAAAGCCAAAGACUCAUAUGGACUUUGGCUACACCAUGAAAGCUUUGAGAAGCAAGAAGAAGGUUGGUUAGUGUUUUGGAGUCGAAUAUGACUUGAUGUCAUGUGUAUGAUUGAGUAUAAGAACUUAAACCUCAACCCGGUCUUAAAGGCGUAAGAAUUGUAUCCUUGUUAGAAGACACAAAGCCAAAGACUCAUAUGGACUUUGGCUACACCAUGAAAGCUUUGAGAAGCAAGUAGAAGGUUGGUUAGUGUUUUGGAGUCGAAUAUGACUUGAUGUCAUGUGUAUGAUUGAGUAUAACAACUUAAACCACAACCCGAUCUUGUAAGCCUAAGUAGUGUAUCCUUGUUAGAAGACACAAAGCCAAAGACUCAUAUGGACUUUGGCUACACCAUGAAAGCUUUGAGAAGCAAGAAGAAGGUUGGUUAGUGUUUUGGAGUCAAAUAUGACUUGAUGUCAUGUGUAUGAUUGAGUAUAACAACUUAAACCGCAACCCGAUCUUGUAAGCCUAAGUAGUGUAUCCUUGUUAGAAGACACAAAGCCAAAGACUCAUAUGGACUUUGGCUACACCAUGAAAGCUUUGAGAAGCAAGAAAAAGGUUGGUUAGUGUUUUAAAGUCGAAUAUGACUUGAUGUCAUGUGUAUGAUUGAGUAUAAGAACUUACACCGCAACCGGAUCUUAAAGGCGUAAGAAUUGUAUCCUUGUUAGAAGACACAAAGCCAAAGACUCAUAUGGACUUUGGCUACACCAUGAAAGCUUUGAGAAGCAAGAAGAAGGUUGGUUAGUGUUUUGGAGUCGAAUAUGACUUGAUGUCAUGUGUAUGAUUGAGUAUAAGAACUUAAACCGCAACCCGAUCUUGUAAGCCUAAGUAGUGUAUCCUUGUUAGAAGACACAAAGCCAAAGACUCAUAUUGACUUUGGCUACACCAUGAAAGCUUUGAGAAGCAAGAAGAAGGUUGUUUAGUGUUUUAAAGUCGAAUAUGACUUGAUGUCAUGUGUAUCAUUGAGUAUAAGAACUUAAACCGCAACCCGAUCUUGUAAGCCUAAGUAGUGUUGCCUUGUUAGAAGACACAAAGCCAAAGACUCAGAUGGACUUUGGCUACUCCAUGAAAGCUUUAAGAAGCAAGAAGAAGGUUGGUUAGUGUUUUGGAGUCGAAUAUGACUUGAUGUCAUGUGUAUGAUUGAGUAUAAGAACUUAAACCGCAACCCGAUCUUAAAGGCGUAAGAAUUGUAUCCUUGUUAAAAGACACAAAGCCAAAGACUCAUAUGGACUUUGGCUACACCAAGAAAGCUUUGAGAAGCAAGAAGAUGGUUGGUUAGUGUUUUGGAGUCGAAUAUGACUUGAUGUCAUGUGUAUGAUUGAGUAUAAGAACUUAAACCGCAACGCGAUCUUAAAGGCGUAAGAAUUGUAUCCUUGUUAGAAGACACAAAGCCAAAGACUCAUAUGGACUUUGGCUACACCAUGAAAGCUUUGAGAAGCAAGAAGAAGGUUGGUUAGUGUUUUGGAGUCGAAUAUGACUUGAUGUCAUGUGUAUGAUUGAGUAUAAGAACUUAAACCGCAACCCGAUCUUGUAAGCCUAAGUAGUGUAUCCUUGUUAGAAGACACAAAGUCAAAGACUCAUAUGGACUUUGGCUACACCAUGAAAGCUUUGAGAAGCAAGAAGAAGGUUGGUUAGUGUUUUGGAGUCAAAUAUGACUUGAUGUCAUGUGUAUGAUUGAGUAUAACAACUUAAACCGCAACCCGAUCUUGUAAGCCUAAGUAGUGUAUCCUUGUUAGAAGACACAAAGCCAAAGACUCAUAUUGACUUUGGCUACACCAUGAAAGCUUUGAAAAGCAAGAAGAAACUCCGUAGUUAAGCGUGCUUAGGCGAGAGUAGUACUAGGCCGGGUGACCUCCCGGACAGUCCUCGUGUUGCAUCCCUCUUUUCUUUUUCGGUUUUUCUCUAUUUUGUUUUGUUAAAAUUGUAUGACUCUAUAACUUUUAGACCGUGAGGCCAAACUUCGCAUGUGAUACCUUUUCGGAAAGCCCAAAGAGAGCUCUCCGAUGAAUGAGGAAGGAAAAUGGAAUUCUUCUAUUGGUUUUUUUUCUAUUCCAAAUUUUGACCUUAAUGUACUUUUUUGGGCCUUUUCGUGAUCUUUGCUAUAUUACGGGGCAAAAUUAUAUGUUCGGACAUUGUUUUCGAAUAUUUUGCAUGUAUCAAAGCUCUUAGAAACAAGAUAUGGUAUUCCUACAUGGCUGGUGUGACCCACGGCAAAUGGAUCAUAAAGUCUUUAAAAAAAGAAUAUAUACGAUUGCAUUGCAUGUAAUAACGGAUGCGAUCAUACCAGCACUAAUGCACCAGAUCCCAUUAAAACUCCGCAGUUAAGCA
rnacentral:sRNA from 1 species